rnacentral:rRNA from 1 species
AGAAUCAACGCUGGCGGCGUGCCUAACACAUGCAAGUCGAACGCGGUUACCUCGCAAGGGGUAACUGAGUGGCGAACGGGUGAGUAACGCGUGGGUGACCUACCUUCGAGCGGGGGAUAACGUCCCGAAAGGGACGCUAAUACCGCAUAACAUCCUGCUUUUGAACAGGCAGACAUCAAAGCUGGGGAUCGCAAGACCCGGCACUUGAAGCGGGGCCCGCGUCUGAUUAGCUAGUUGGUGAGGUAACGGCUCACCAAGGCGACGAUCA